rnacentral:rRNA from 1 species
CCUACGAGAGGCAGCAGUGGGGAAUAUUGCACAAUGGGGGAAACCCUGAUGCAGCAACGCCGCGUGAGUGAAGAAGUAUUUCGGUAUGUAAAGCUCUAUCAGCAGGGAUGAAGAUGACGGUACCUGAGUAAUAAGCCCCGGCUAACUACGUGCCAGCAGCCGCGGUUAUACGUAGGGGGCAAGCGUUAACCGGAUUUACUGGGUGUAAAGGGGACGUAGACGGUGAGACAAGUGUGAAGGGAAAGCCCGGGGCUCAACCCCGGGACUGCUUUGGAAACGGCGUGACUGGAGUGCUGGAGAGGCAAGUGGAAUGCCUAGUGUAGCGGUGAAAUGCGUAGAUAUUAGGAAGAACACCAGUGGCGAAGGCGGAUUGCUGGACAGUAACUGACGUUGAGGCUCGAAAGCGUGGGGAGCAAACAGGAUUAGAUACCCCAGUAGUC